AACCAGCACCUCAAGUGGUCAGGAUGAUUAUUGGGCCUAAAGCAUCCGUAGCCGGCUCUGUAAGUCCUCGGUUAAAUCUGUACGCUUAACGUACAGGCUGCCGGGAAUACUGCAUAGCUAGGGAGUGGGAGAGGUAGACGGUACUCGGUAGGAAGGGGUAAAAUCCUUUGAUCUAUUGAUGACCACCUGUGGCGAAGGCGGUCUACCAGAACACGUCCGACGGUGAGGGAUGAAAGCUGGGGGAGCAAACCGGAUUAGAUACCCGGGUAGUCCCAGCUGUAAACUAUGCAAACUCAGUGAUGCAUUGGCUUGUGGCCAAUGCAGUGCUGCAGGGAAGCCGUUAAGUUUGCCGCCUGGGAAGUACGUACGCAAGUAUG
rnacentral:rRNA from 1 species